rnacentral:lncRNA from 1 species
CUCCUCAGUGUUCGCGUGCCUGCAACCUAUGUGGUUGGUCUGAGAUCAGGUUGCUUUUGUCCAGAUGACCAGAUGCUUGCAGAAGAACACAAGAAAAUAUGUGUGUCUGAAUGCACAACAUGUAAAGGGCCAUUGGGUGAGCCCAUGCCGGUGGGGGCAGUAUGGGAAUCAAACUGUCAUAUAUGCACAUGUAAUAACCAGACUAGAACUGAAGAGUGCAUACCCAAACCUCGAGAUCCCACUCCAGUCUGCAGUGUCUACUCCAGUCUGGUCUCUGAUUGCUGUGACAAUCAGAUCUGCGGUAAUGUUGCUAUCUUCCCACAGAAUAACAUAGUGUAGAGUGCCACUGGUGCCACUGGUGCAUAUUCUUUUUAAUUGAUU